rnacentral:lncRNA from 13 species
GGCAGUUUAAACUGACCAACCGUUGCCCGCCACCUCAGCUCUCUCGGCUUCCCCACUCCCUAGGCCCUUCAGCCCCCUGUAAAAGAACUCUGCUCCUCUGAGCUGCGUGGCCAUUUUUCCUGUUCUUCCCGGCUGGCCCGCCCGGAGGCUUUUUCAUCUCAAUAAAGCCUGAACUUAAGACUUUCUUCUAACCUGCGGUCCGGUUUUUCCGAACGAGCCCUGUCUUCCCGUGGAGGAUAAAGCCAACCCAGAUCGAACGCAAACACAACCACAAGCACAGACAUAGCAGCGACUUUACAGCAGCAGACCCACAACCCAGAGAGCAAAUUCUGUAUCAGCCCAUUCAUGGAAAAGAGUAGUAAGAAAUCACAUGCACAUCUUGGCUCACCUCAACUUCCGCCUCCUGGGUUCAAGUGACUCUUCUGCCUCAGCCUCCUGAGUAUCUGGGACUACAGGUAUGCACCACUAUGCCAGGCUAAAUUUUGUAUUUUUAGUAGAGUUGGGGUUUCACCAUGUUGGUUAGUCUGGUCUUUAACUCCU